rnacentral:tRNA from 1 species
GCAGUGGUGGUUCGGUGAUAGAACUCUCACCUUGCAUGUGGGAGACCCAGGUUCGAUUCCCGGCCAACGCA